rnacentral:tRNA from 1 species
GCAGAUAGCUCAGUCGGUAGAGCAUGAGGCUCUUAAUCUCAGGGUUGUGGGUUUGAGCCCCACGGUGGGCA